rnacentral:rRNA from 1 species
AUUUCAGUUCGCCAACCCUAAGUUCCGCCGGCGCGCCCCGGCGAUCGUGAAGGCCCCGACGAUUGCGUCCUCACCCUACUGAUUGCCCCGACCCGACCCGACCCUCUUUAGGUCAGCAAUGCCGGAAGCCGCCACUCAAGAGGGAGAGGCGUCGGGGUCCGGAUCAACCCGCGCGCUCCGCCGCAGCCUGAGGUUCACCGCUGCAGCAAGGGCCACGGCGACGACCCGGUCGAUGGCCCUGGUGCGUGCGCAGCAGUCCCCGGGGUCCCAAUCCCCACAGGAACCAUCCGUGCGUUCCAAUACAAGGAAGAGAAAGAAGGGGCCGGCUGCCAACCAGAAAUCGAAGAAACGGAAGAGGAGGAGGAGGACAGCUCUCCAAUUCGCGAGCCACAUAUACCGGAUGAGAUGUAUCGACUUGAUGAUCUGGAUACGUCCAAAGUCAUUCAGAAGGCACUAGGAGAUCAUUUGGAGAAAAUAGCUCGCCAUAUGGGAUUGCCUACUCUGAAUGUGCACAUGUGCAGAGCUUCCAUGUGCGUUCUUGAUGACCCAAAUCUGGUUCCUGAUCGCGCAUCUGCAAGAAAAGCGGUGCUUAAUGCUGCUCACUCUGUUCUAGGGCUCUCGUCCUCUAUUGGUGGUAAGCCACUAGCAUGAUGCUGUGGUUUCUGGGUUGAUUGGGACGAGAAGACCAAAUUGGCAUUGCUUUGACAACUUCAAGUCUCAUUUGUACUAAGUCUGCAUCUAUGGACAGUUGGUUAGGGCAAGAAGAGUAUGAUACUCAUGCGGAGGUUCUUGUUCACAUGCAGGGUGGCGCCACUGAAAAGGCCACCCUGCAGUACCAUCAGAAGCACUAUGAUUUGGCCUUCUUCAGUGUUAGAAUGGAUCGGCCCGUUCAUAUACUUUCUUUCAAUGAUGGUGUGAAGCGUUCUGACCAAGUUUUUGAGCUUGGAAGAGAUGAAGAGUCGUUUCUAAGGAUAAGCCAUGGUGUGGUGAAAAUCUUGAAUCCAAACCUGCUUGAACGGUAUCACUAUAUGCAUGUUCACAGUGCAGAUCCACUCCCCGAUUAUGGCAUAGGAGGGCCACUCAUUGACUUUGGUGGAAAAAUCGUGGGAAUGGUCAAUGGCAAUACAAGCGGGUCUUUUAUACCGUCUUCCAUUUUAGUCAAGUGCUUGCAUUUGUGGAGAAAAUUUGGGCGCAUCCCUCGGCCCCAGCUUGGUAUGAAGUUUUGGUCAAUCAAGUUUGUAGACAUUGCUCUUGCUGAGAAUAUAUUGUGCAAGUGUAAUAUUGAUGAUGGCCUUAUUGUAAAAGAGGUAUCUCUCUCCCUCUCUUUCUCUCUAGAUCAAAAUAUAGCCACACCAAACUAGGAGUAUAUAAUUGCUAAUUUUACGCUCUGGCCAGACUGCAUGAGCCACUCCCGGGAGAACCAACUGACUACACAACCCGCAACCCACACAUAUAUGCUUUUGAUAGUAAAAAUGCUCUAUACUAUUGUUAAUCUUGGAAAGCUUGGUGUUUUAAUGUGAUUCACGUGAUUUAGUUGUAAGUGGUAAGAUGUGCAUGCAAAUAACCUGCAUAGUGUUUUUUUUUCAGUGCAAUUAUGCAAGUGUUUGUCGUAAACUAAAUAAUGUGGUUAUUUAUUUGAACUCAAUUGUGUACUCAUCUGUUGGUUGAAGUUUUAGUACUUGUCAUGUUAGGUUGUACUCCCUCCGUCCCAUACUAUAAGAGCAUUUUUGACACUACACUAGUGUCAAAAACGCUCUUAUAUUAUGAGAUGGAGGGAGUAAUAUAUAGCGGAGUAUCUAGUAAAUGUAGCAAAGUACUAAAGUUGGUAUGUGAUGAAGUAACACUGGAGCAUCUAGUAAUGCACUCCUAGUAAGUUUGUAGUAAAACCAUAUGUACAAGUCAUCUGUGCGCAAAAUUGUAUUUUUUGCUAGAUGGUAAAUGGAUUUGGUACUGAUAUGCUUAGCAGGUACCUUUGCUAAUCCAGUUUUACUACUUCAAUUCAUCAUGUACCUCGUCUCCAUUUUAGAGCAGAGGCAAAAAAAUUACCAUGUGAUCUCUAGGAUUUACUAUGCAUUGUACAGCAUAGUUUAGUACAUGUUCUAUGGUUGAGUAGGAGACUGGGAAACCAGGUACGCAAGUGUUGGGCUCAUUUGGAUUUAUGUUUGAUCUUCUAUUAUACAUCACUGUACAUCUUUACUAGUAGGACUUCUGCUAUUACUACAUCUCUGUGGAUCUUUACUACUAGGACUUCAGUUUUUACGCAUGAUUUGGACAGAGAAGUCAGGAAUGCGGGGAGUUGUUGUUCUGAUCGAGCGUGCACUGUGGCUGCAUGCAUGUUUGUAUUGCUCAUUUCUAGAUUUAUGUUAGCUCACUUGAGUGUUUAUGUUAUCUGCAUAUUGAGUGGUUAUUGUGACUCUUAUGUGUCAUAUGGAUCUCCUGCUGAGAAACUUGGAAUACUGGUCGGUGACGUCAUUAAUUGUUUCAAUGGAGAACGCAUCUCUACAACAGUCGAGUUGGAGAAUAUGUUGCUAAGCAAAUGCGAGGAUGAAAAUAAUAGCCUUAAUUCUGAAGUCAAUGUCAAACUUGAUGUGUUUCACAUACGCAAGUCUCGCUGGAGUGACAGAACAUUAACUGUAAAAGUGUCUGAUGAUGGUGAAGUUGUUGCAACAGGAGUUACUUAUCCUUUCGGAGAAGGGACACCAUGAUUAAUACCAUGCCAAUUGACCAAACGGGCCCAGGAAGAUAGGUUUGGGAGUUCAGGACAGAUACAUGCGUCGGUGAAUGCAUGCGUGGAACUGCAAGUUUCUGCUAAAUGCAUUUGAUUUCUUUGGCGGUAUAACUCCUUGGCAUAUCCUUGUACCGAAAAUACUGGUGCAGGCAAGCGACUGCUGUUUCCUUUCUGCAUGAAAACGGGAACCGUCAUGUGAGCUGACUCUGUACAUUUGUGGAUGCUUGUUGAGUCCCUACUUCAUGUAUGUCUUGUUCGAUGAACAAACAAAUAUCCUGGUCCACUGAAUGAACAGAAGUUGAGGAUCCUGAAAGUGCAUACUUACAAUUCAAAAGCGGAACCACUUUGAUUUUUGUGGUAAUUUUGGG